CCUACGGGUGGCAGCAGUGGGGAAUAUUGCGCAAUGGGCUAAAGCCUGACGCAGCGACGCCGCGUGAGGGAUGAAGGUCUUCGGAUCGUAAACCUCUGUCAGCAGGGAAGAACGGUCACUGUGCUAAUCAGCAGUGACUUGACGGUACCUGCAAAGGAAGCACCGGCUAAAUCCGUGCCAGCAGCCGCGGUAAUACGGAGGGUGCGAGCGUUAAUCGGAAUUACUGGGCGUAAAGCGCUCGUAGGCGGUAUGUCAAGUCAAGGGUGAAAUCCCCGCGCUAAACGUGGGAACUGCCUUUGAAACUGGCAAACCGGAGUGUGUGAGAGGAUAGUGGAAUUCCAGGUGUAGGAGUGAAAUCCGUAGAUAUCUGGAGGAACAUCAGUGGCGAAGGCGACUAUCUGGCACAUAACUGACGCUGAGGAGCGAAAGCGUGGGUAGCAAACAGGAUUAGAUACCCCAGUAGUC
rnacentral:rRNA from 1 species